GUAGGUGGCAAGCGUUGUCCGGAAUUAUUGGGCGUAAAGCGCGCGCAGGUGGUUCUUUAAGUCUGAUGUGAAAGCCCCCGGGCUCAACCGGGGAGGGUCAUUGGAAACUGGGGAACUUGAGUGCAGGAGAGGAAAGUGGAAUUCCACGUGUAGCGGUGAAAUGCGUAGAUAUGUGGAGGAACACCAGUGGCGAAGGCGACUUUCUGGCCUGUAACUGACACUGAGGCGCGAAAGCGUGGGGAGCAAACAGGAUUAGACACCCUGGUAGUCCACGCCGUAAACGAUGAGUGCUAAGUGUUGGGGGGUUUCCGCCCCUCAGUGCUGCAGCUAACGCAUUAAGCACUCCGCCUGGGGAGUACGGUCGCAAAGACUG
rnacentral:rRNA from 1 species